UACAGAGGCCUCAAGCGUUGUUCGGAUUCAUUGGGCGUAAAGGGUGCGUAGGUGGCUUGUUAAGUUGAAGGUGAAAUCUCGGGGCUCAACUCCGAAACUGCCUUCAAUACUGGCGAGCUCGAGGAUUGUAGAGGAGAAUGGAAUUCACGGUGUAGCAGUGAAAUGCGUAGAUAUCGUGAGGAAGACCAGUGGCGAAGGCGAUUCUCUGGGCAAUUCCUGACGCUGAUGCGCGAAAGCUAGGGGAGCGAACGGG
rnacentral:rRNA from 1 species